rnacentral:rRNA from 1 species
UACAGAGGUCUCAAGCGUUGUUCGGAUUCAUUGGGCGUAAAGGGUGUGUAGGUGGCGCGCUAAGUCGGGUGUGAAAUUUCGGAGCUUAACUCCGAAACUGCAUUCGAUACUGGCGUGCUUGAGGACUGGAGAGGAGACUGGAAUUCAUGGUGUAGCAGUGAAAUGCGUAGAGAUCAUGAGGAAUACCUGAGGUGAAGACGGGUUGCUAGGCCGACACUGACGCUGAGUGCGCGAAAGCCAGGGGAGCAAACGGG